rnacentral:rRNA from 1 species
GACGAACGCUGGCGGCGUGCUUAACACAUGCAAGUCGAACGGAAAGGCCCUGCUUUUGUGGGGUGCUCGAGUGGCGAACGGGUGAGUAACACGUGAGUAACCUGCCCUUGACUUUGGGAUAACUUCAGGAAACUGGGGCUAAUACCGGAUAGGAGCUCCUGCUGCAUGGUGGGGGUUGGAAAGUUUCGGCGGUUGGGGAUGGACUCGCGGCUUAUCAGCUUGUUGGUGGGGUAGUGGCUUACCAAGGCUUUGACGGGUAGCCGGCCUGAGAGGGUGACCGGCCACAGUGGGACUGGGAUACGGCCCAGACUCCUACGGGAGGCAGCAGUGGGGAAUAUUGCACAAUGGGCGGAAGCCUGAUGCAGCAACGCCGCGUGCGGGAUGACGGCCUUCGGGUUGUAAACCGCUUUCGCCUGUGACGAAGCGUGAGUGACGGUAAUGGGUAAAGAAGCACCGGCUAACUACGUGCCAGCCGCCGCAGUAAAAC